UACGUAGGGUGCAAGCGUUAAUCGGAAUUACUGGGCGUAAAGCGUGCGCAGGCGGUUGUGCAAGACCGAUGUGAAAUCCCCGGGCUUAACCUGGGAAUGGCAUUGGUGACUGUACGGCUAGAGUGUGUCAGAGGGGGUAGGAAUUCCACGUGUAGCAGUGAAAUGCGUAGAGAUGUGGAGGAAUACCGAUGGCGAAGGCAGCCCCCUGGGAUAACACUGACGCUCAUGCACGAAAGCGUGGGGAGCAAACAGG
rnacentral:rRNA from 1 species